UCAGGACCAAAGUGGGGACUUCGGCCUCACGCCUAAGAUUAGCCCAAGUGGGAUUAGCUAGUUGGUGAGGUAAAGGCUCACCAAGGCAACGAUCCCUAGCUGGUUUGAGAGGAUGAUCAGCCACACUGGAACUGAGACACGGUCCAGACUCCUACGGGAGGCAGCAGUGGGGAAUAUUGCACAAUGGGCGCAAGCCUGAUGCAGCCAUGCCGCGUGUGUGAAGAAGGCCCUAGGGUUGUAAAGCACUUUCAGCGAGGAGGAAAGGUUAUAGUUUAAUAGACUAUAGCUGUGACGUUACUCGCAGAAGAAGC
rnacentral:rRNA from 1 species